rnacentral:rRNA from 1 species
AUGGAGGCAAAUGCCAAUGCAGCCCAGGAAGUGAACAGAAUCUUGCAUAUUUACGAAGCAUGCUCAGGAGAGAUGAUCAAUAAGGAAAAAUCAGCAAUAAUGUUCAGCAAGAACACAGAGGAAAGAAAAAUAAAUGAGAUGAAGAGGAUCUUAGGCAUCAACAUUGAAGGUUUUUCAGGCAGAUACUUAGGCCCACCAGUAUACAUAGGCAAGAACAAAACAAAAACCUUCAACUUUAUAAGGGAGAGAGUCUGGAAGAAAAUCCAGGGAGGAAAUGAGAAACUUUUAUCAAAAGCAGGAAAGGAGAUAUUGAUUAAAGCAGUUGCUCAAGCAAUACCAGUUUACGCCAUGUCAUGUUUUGAUCUCACAAAAUCAUUUUGUGAGGACUUAAGCUCUAUGAUCAAUCGUUACUGGUGGAGCCAGAUGGACAAAGAAAAUAAAAUCCAUUGGGUAAGCUGGGAAAAAAUGACAAAACCAAAGAAGGACGGAGGUUUAGGUUUUAGGAACUUACAUUUUUUUUAA